rnacentral:rRNA from 1 species
AGAGUUUGAUCCUGGCUCAGAGCGAACGUUAGCGGCAGGCUUAACACAUGCAAGUCGAGCGAGAAAGGGGCUUCGGCUCCGAGUAAAGCGGCGGACGGGUGCGUAACACGUGGAUAAUCUGCCUCGUGGCGGGGGACAACAGUCCGAAAGGACUGCUAAUACCGCAUGUCAGGUCGGAAACUCCGGUUUCUGACGAAAAAGAGGGCGCCCGCAAGGGGCUCUCACCACGAGAUGAGUCCGCGUCCCAUCAGCUAGUUGGCGGUGUAAUAGACCACCAAGGCUUAGACGGGUAGCUGGUCUGAGAGGAUGACCAGCCACACUGGGACUGAGACACGGCCCAGACUCCUACGGGAGGCAGCAGUGGGGAAUAUUGGACAAUGGGCGAAGCCUGAUCCAGCCAUGCCGCGUGAGUGAUGAAGG